rnacentral:rRNA from 1 species
ACCUUAUAUUAGCCUGCUUCUCGCCUCCUUUCACCUGGUACUUGUUACCGCACCGAGGCAUUACACCCUGUGGAGCGGUAACUCCGCUCGCCGCCGACGUAUAGGGUGUGGUGUGAAUGGUAGACGUGCCCCCCGGUACCGGUUCGCUACUUAAAACGAGACGUGGAUCGACCCUCAAAGACGGAACCGGACGAGAACUGGUCGCCCUACACUUGUAACAGGCUCCAACGGUUUGGUCUACUUUCUUGUCCCUUUCUGUAACUCGAGUGACGGUUUCUAACAAUAAGA